AACGAACGCUGGCGGCAGGCCUAACACAUGCAAGUCGAGCGAUCGCAGCAAUGCGGGAGCGGCAGACGGGUGAGUAACACGUGGGAACGUACCCUUCGGUUCGGAAUAACUCAGGGAAACUUGAGCUAAUACCGGAUACGUCCGAGAGGAGAAAGAUUUAUCGCCGAAGGAUCGGCCCGCGUCUGAUUAGCUAGUUGGUGAGGUAACGGCUCACCAAGGCGACGAUCAGUAGCUGGUCUGAGAGGAUGAUCAGCCACACUGGGACUGAGACACGGCCCAGACUCCUACGGGAGGCAGCAGUGGGGAAUAUUGGACAAUGGGGGCAACCCUGAUCCAGCCAUGCCGCGUGAGUGAUGAAGGCCUUAGGGUUGUAAAGCUCUUUUACCCGGGAAGAUAAUGACGGUACCGGGAGAAUAAGCCCCGGCUAACUUCGUGCCAGCCGCCGCAGUAAAAC
rnacentral:rRNA from 1 species